rnacentral:rRNA from 1 species
GGAAUCUUCGGCAAUGGGGGCAACCCUGACCGAGCAACGCCGCGUGAGUGAAGAAGGUUUUCGGAUCGUAAAGCUCUGUUGUAAGAGAAGAACGUGUGUGAGAGUGGAAAGUUCACACAGUGACGGUAACUUACCAGAAAGGGACGGCUAACUACGUGCCAGCAGCCGCGGUAAUACGUAGGUCCCGAGCGUUGUCCGGAUUUAUUGGGCGUAAAGCGAGCGCAGGCGGUUUAAUAAGUCUGAAGUUAAAGGCAGUGGCUUAACCAUUGUUCGCUUUGGAAACUGUUAGACUUGAGUGCAGAAGGGGAGAGUGGAAUUCCAUGUGUAGCGGUGAAAUGCGUAGAUAUAUGGAGGAACACCGGUGGCGAAAGCGGCUCUCUGGUCUGUAACUGACGCUGAGGCUCGAAAGCGUGGGGAGCAAACA